rnacentral:rRNA from 1 species
CAAUAGCGUAUAUUAAUGUUGUUGCAGUUAAAAAGCUCGUAGUUGGAUUUCUGGUGGGAGUGGCCGGUCCGCCGUAAGGUGUGUACUUGGUUGUCUCCCGUCAUCCUUGUGGGAACUGCUCUGGCAUUAAGUUGUCGGGGUUAGGGAACACAUCGUUUACUGUGAAAAAAUUAGAGUGUUCAAAGCAGGCCUACGCUUGAAUACAUUAGCAUGGAAUAAUGGAAUAGGACUUUGGUGCUAUUUUGUUGGUUUAUGGGACCGAAGUAAUGAUUAACAGGGACAGUUGGGGCCGUUUAUAUUUCGUUGUCAGAGGUGAAAUUCUUGGAUUUACGAAAGAUAAACUUCUGCGAAAGCAUUCGGCAAGGAUGUUUUCAUUGAUCAAGAACGAAAGUUAGGGGAUCAAAGACGAUUAGAUACCG